GGCAGGGUUGGAGGAGGUCAGAUAACCACAGAAGCAGAAGUUGGGAUGAUGCAGCAUGAAGCAAGAAAUUCCAGAAGCCUGCAGGAGCUGGAAGAAAUGACUCGAUUUCCCCGGAGUGUCCAGAAGGGGGCAGCUCUGCUACCAUCCUGAUUGCAGCCACAGAUGUCCGGCCUCCAGACCUGGAAGAGAAUAACUUGGUGCUGUUUGCAGUCAAUUUGUUAUAGUAGCAGCAGGAAGCUCGGGUUCUGAACAUUCAGCUCCUCACUGGCUGAGGACCUCGGGCAAGGCCCUGGCAUCCCUGGAUCCCAGCUCCUCACUUUGUUAAAUGAGGGUAGAAAUGGCUGCUAUGGUGUUCGUAUGUGGAUGGAAGGAGGUAGCGCCGCCCGGCAUCACCUCGUCUGUCCAGGGUGUCCAGGAAGUCCCAGGCUUAGAAUGUUGGUGGGGAUGGCAGCAGCCAUCCUCCAGUAGUAGCAGGAGAAGCCGCAGACUUGGCAGGGAGAAAAAUCACUCCAUGAGAAUCAUCAGCUCCAGAUAUAUUGGAAUCUAUCUUUUGAAAUCAUUUAUCAGAAGCUUAUCCUGGCGUCA